rnacentral:rRNA from 1 species
GAUGAACGCUAGCGGCAGGCUUAAUACAUGCAAGUUGAGGGGCAGCAUGAUAUACGCGAGUAUAUUGAUGGCGACCGGCGGACGGGUGAGUAAUAGGUAGGAGACCUACCUCAUACAGGGGGAUAGCAUAGAGAAAUCUGUGGUAAUACCCCAUGAGGUUAUAUGAAUAGAGGCAUAUAAUCAAAGCAUAAGCGAUUAUGCGGUAUGAGAGGGGCCUACUGACCAUUAGCUAGUUGGUGAGGUAAGGGCUCACCAAGGCGAAGAUGGUUAGGGGUUUUGAGAGAGAGACCCCCCACAUUGGAACUGAGAGACGGUCCAGACUCCUACGGGAGGCAGCAGUAGGGAAUAUUGGGCAAUGGGCGAAAGCCUGACCCAGCCAUGCCGCGUGAAGGAAGACGGCCCUAUGGGUUGUAAACUUCUUUACUACGCGAAUAGAGGUUAGUACGAGAUACUAAUAGGAAGGUAGUGUAGUAAAAGCACCGGCUAACUCCGUG